rnacentral:rRNA from 1 species
AUGGGAGGGAAAGCUCCAAAAUCCGUGAUAACAAAUCAAGAUGCAGCUAUGAAAAAAGCAGUCCCUAAGUGUUUCCCUAGUUGCAAGCAUAGGAACUGCUUGUUCCACAUUCUAACAAAAGCACAAAACAAAGCUAGAAGAACAUUUGCAAGGAACCAACAUCUGAAUGCUCAGUUUCAUGACAUAAUCCUAAACUUGCAAAUAGUAGAGGAGUUCGAGCAACUCUGGCCCCAAAUGAUAGAGCAACACAACGUUCAACAUAUCAAAUACUUCAGGAUUAUGUGGAAAAACAGAAAGAGAUUUGUACCUUCCUACUUCAAGAGUCACUUCUUCCCAUUCAUCUAG